CGACGUGCAUUGACUGGAUGCUGCUGAUGUUGCCGUCUGAAAUGGAGGACACAGUGGAGCAUCUAUUUGUCUUUUGAGGACAGAAACAGCGGGCUAGUUUUAGCUCCUUAUUCUCACAAUGGAAUUAUAACUUAAGCAUGUGGUGGCUUAAAUGUCAAAGAUACCCCCAAAUAUGAAAAGCUUACAUUUUGAGGCCCCCCCCCCCGAUGAUGGUGCUGUUUGGGGAGGUUGAGGAGCCUUUAAGAGGCUCAGCACAGCUGGAGGAAGUAGUUCAGUGGAGGUGGUCCUUCCAUUAUAGUUUGGCUCUGAUUCAUAGGGCCUGUGUGCUUUGUGGUCUGCCCGACUUGAACAGCGUCUGCCUCGGGCUUCUGCUGCCAGAGAUGAAGCAAGUCAUGAUGGCUCAUCUUGAGCCAAAGUAAAUCUUUCCUCCUUUACGGGGGUUUUUAUUCUGUUUCGGUUUUGUUCAGAAGACCAUGAAAGCAUAAGCAGUCAGACGUAUUGAAUCUUCAUGGAGAUGGAAUUACAGGUUUUAAGCCACCUGAUGUGGGUACUUGGGCUUGAACCUGGUCCUCUUCCUCGGGAAGAAGAGAACUGCUGAGCCAUCUUUCCGAUCCCUAUUUACUUUUAUGUGCAUCCUUGGAGUUCAGCCCAGGAUGUUACACUUUUUCUGUUGACAAGUGUGUGCUGCCAUGUGGGUGCUAGGAAUUGGGUCCUCUGGACAAACAGCAGUGCCUUUAGACACCGAGCCAUCUCUCCAGCACCAUGUUUAAAAGUUUUUGACUCUGACAUGGAUACAAAGAUGGAGUAUCAGGAAGAAACCAGAGUUCCGAGAGGUUAAAUAAUGUGCGUGACUGUCAUGGAGCAAGGUCAGGACCUGAGCACAGAGGGUCAAGGCCCACAGGUUGAGAACUGCUACUCUUUACUCCUUUUCAGUGACUCAAUCAUGAUAUCUGCCUGCCCUUCGCUGUUAUAGAUUUUGAGAGAGAAUUCCAGGGCUGUAGUGGAGGAAGUAAAUGACCUUGAGGUUGUCAGUUGAGAGCAGGUUUUGAAUAACUUUCUUCCUGCACACCCCAAAACAACUCUAGUGAGACCAGAUACCCAGACUUUGCUGAAUAGCCAUCACCGUGUUCCCAAGUGCUUCAUAAACCAGCCACACAGUAAAUGACUGGAGAGACUGCAUUUUGAAAUUGGAUUUAGUGGCCAAAAUUGCCUCAUGAGUUCUACUGUGCCAUUUUUUAAAAAGACGUCAUUUAGGGGCUUAUAAUUCACCAUCUGCUUUGAAUCUUAAGGACAGCAGAAGGAGGAGCAGAGAAAGCCAGAGGGCAGUCGUAUUCUCGCCCAUCUCACAACCCCCUUUUCCUUUAUUCAUUAUUAAAUUAGAACUCUUUCCUUGGCCAAUCACCUUGAAGCCGCACGUGCUUACAUGGAUCAGUUGCUGAUGCCUAGGUGGAGUCAGGCUGGAUUGACGGCAGGAUGGCAGGGAGCAGUCCUGCAGCCCUGCCUUCCAAUCAAGCAAUUAUUUACUGCUAGGCCAUCUGUCUUUAUUUUGCAAAGCCACUCGAUCAGACACAGCAGUAUCACCGUGCUCUGAGCGGGUCAUAAAUCGCGUGGUACUUACACAGGGUACUCAAUUGUGACUCACACUCUAUCACUUUGUUUACCACCAGUGCAAUCUGGAUUCUUUGUUGUAAUUGGCAAACUUGCUAAAUACCUCUGGGAUGUGAAAAAUAUGAAAUGUCACAUUUUUUUUUGGUGUGUUGUCAGGCAAUAAAUUAAUUUAUUAAGAAGAAACAUUAGUCAUCAGUACCGGGUGACUUGCCGCAGUGAACGAGUUAUAAUGUUAUGAGCAUCGAUCUUAUUUAUACAAAAAGUUAUUGUCGUAUGAGUCUGUGACACAGUAUAGAAACGACUGCCAUUAGCUGGUAAAUUACCAGGAAAGCUGAUUUCUACUCAGUGGUUUAUUAACUGUAGUAUAUGGGCUCUGAAUUGCUAAUGUUUCCCUUAAAUUAUAAUCUGUGAUGACACUGCAGUGCCCAUGUUGGGAAAGCUAUGAUGAUAAUCAUUAACAUACUGUAAUGCAAUACUGAAGAUUUAUCAGGCUCUUAUUAAGCCCUACAUUACAGUAUAAUAUAAUGAACUGCAAGUUUGUUUUUUCUAAUCCAAAAUCUACUAUGAGGCUUGUGCCAUAAAUUACUGAAGCUUCAUAACAAAGCAUGGGGCUGUGGCAUCAAGCUAAUUUCUGUCAUUACGUUUGUUUGUUUUUAUCUCACAUGUUCUCUGUGUAUUUGUGUGACAUUGCAUUUUUGUUUACCUAGACAGUUGGUACUUAUUUUAUUAACAUCUAACUGUAUUUUCCCAUCUUAGUUAAGAAGUAGAAAGUAUCCAAACAUCAAAGCUGAUCUAAACACUACUUGUUCUUUGGGAAAUUUAAAGGAGCUGUAGUUCAGGAUUCUUUGAGAAACACUACAUAUUCUAGUAGUGGCUUCAUGGGAAUAAACUCGCAGUACAUUCCGGUGCCUGGAGCAGUGAGAGGUAGUAGAGGUGAUGUUUUCAGCUCCAUCACAUAUAUCAGCUUGAAGAGACUAACAUAAUACACAAAGCAAAUGCACAAACUAAAUGCAAGCUGCAUGUUUUUCAUUCUUGCUUUUAGAUAGAAAACAUAACGGCAGCAAAGCCAGAAAAAAAAGUCAAAGUAGAUAGGACACAGGACUCCGAGGCUACAAGGUGGAUCUGACCAGGAAGCCUUUUUCCUGAGGAUUAGCUUUUAUAGUACCAGAAGGUUCUAUGGAAGCUUCCAUAGGAGGGAAGCAGUUCAUAGCCUUACCCAGCUCUGAUGUCCAUGAACUACAACAAUGACCAGCAUGGUAAGAUGCAAUAGUGGCACUUAUAGCUUGGCAGUAACCAACAGCUCUCUAAUUGGACUUAAGGCCAGCUCAACAUGAGGGAGACCAUGCCUAGUUCUGGAGACCUGCCAGCUACCCACGACUCGUGAAGUCAUGGAUCUUAGAGGAGAACAUACCACUGCCACUUUACUAAAGCAGCAACAUCCUUAACUGAAUUCUAAGGGCUUAUACUCAGGGCCUUAAAAGAGUAGUCUUCAUUCCUCAUCCAAGAAACUUCUCUUUCCAGUAGAUGGGGAGAAUGACAGAAACCAUACCUGACCAAGAUGCAGAGAAGAACUGACCGCGUGUUGCCUAGCCCCAACUGGCACAUCUACAACACAGCUCAUGCAUCUAAGGCUCAGGGGACAGCAUGGCAGAAGUGGCAUAAUGAUUGUAAGAGCUAGAGAACCAGGAAAUCUGCUGUGGGAGAGUGUCUCCUAGACAUGACCGGCAAGUUUUUCCUGUGACAACUCAACAAUAUGGCUGCCUAAGCAAGACCUGAACAAGGAUUCCAACACUAUUAUUCUAGAGAAAUCUAGACUAUGUAUAUAUACCCUUGCAAUUAAAAAAAAUUAGUUUCUUAUCUUACUAUUUUGUGGGGUUUUUGGACAUUUUCAAACAUAUAUAUCAUUGUGUCUUGCUCAUAUUUGUACCCCCUGACUACCCUCUACUAUCUGUCCUGCCCUCUGUUACUGGUUCCCUUUCUACCUCCAAAUAUACCCACUUAUGCUUCAAUGUCACAUAUAUGUAUGCAUAUGUAUACAUAUUUAAAUCUAGAUUUCACAUAUGAAAGAAAAUGAGAUUCCUUCCUGCAUUCUAGGCCUCUUUGAGUCAUGCCCCAAAUGAAUGAAAUAGUAUCAACUUUAUAACCCAUGUUUGACCAUUAUAUCCUCACUGAAAUUCUUCUGAGCAUUCUUGUUGGUGACCAACUAUGAUCUGCCUUUUUCAGUAUGGUAGAAGAAGCUCAGGGAGCCCCUAAGAGUAAGAGUCAGUCAUACUUUCCCCUUUGGUGGUACUAGUCUGCUCUGACUGUGCAUGUACCCACCCCUUCCCAGUUCUCAUCUCAGCCUUUCCUCACACUCACCUCUGGGCAGGAGAUGCUCGUUCCCAAGUCUUACUAGUCUUCUCUCCCUCCACAUUGCUUACCUAACUCAUACUUAUCCGCUAAACUCCAAACCAUAUUUCUUCCAGGAAGCCUUUUUGGGAUUAUAUAUGCCUUCUUUUCUACAAUUUCUCAUUCAUAUGUAACAAUCACAGUAAUAUCUAUUUCCCCACUACAGUGCCAGUUUCUUAAGUGUAUAAACCAGGAUUAUUAAUUAUUAUUAACAUAUUAUUAUUAUUAUUAUCAUCAACACUAACAUCUUCACCUACACUCUGCAUAUUACACGACAGGCAUCCAUCGCAAAAUAUCCCCUCAUCUCAGUGUCAUUAGAGGACUCCAUUAAGUUCCAUUGAAGAGGAUAUUUGUGUUCUCUCUGUAUCUUUCAGAAAUACCUCUUAUAUGCUCUCCUUACCUCAUAUACCAACAGAAUAUGUUUACAUUCUAAGACUAAACAACUCUACCAAAUUAUCUAUAGAGAAGAAACAGUUGCUAGUCAGAAUGAGUCUUUCUGCCUGUGUGGUAGUUAAGUGAGUGAUUCACAGGCAUGACACAUUCAGAUUCAUUUCAUUCAUGUCUUGUCACCUAAAGGCAAAUACAUGCUUUGCCAUGGGAAAAACAAAAACAGCUUCAUUUUUUGAAACAUCUUGCAAAAAUUAAUUUGGCAGGCUACUUUACUGGAGGUGUUUAUUUACCUCCAUGCUGUGGUAUUGAAGUAAGAAAAAUCAUUAACUAGCCUGAGUUGGUCUACAUCUCUGAUAACCAAGGCAAAGGCUGCAUGUGUUUUCCAUGAGAAGGCACAGAGGGAGCACACACACCAUGGGCUAAGGCAUAAUCAUUUUAUUUACACUGAGCGCUGUUCUGAUCCAACCACCUAAAACAAUUCACCAUCUGUUGAGUGGAUAAGGAAAAUAUUUACCUUGUACCUGGAGAACCGGAGA